UUAAUACUCCCUCCAUCUUAAAAUUCUUGUCUUGAAUUUGUUUAGUUAUAAAUCUAUCUAGUCACGCUUUAGUAUUUAGAUACACUCAUUUCUAGAGAAAUUAAGACAAGAAUUUUUAAACGAAGGAAGUAUAUG
rfam:Hordeum vulgare subsp. vulgare, WGS project CAJW01000000 data, contig: morex_contig_58399